GAUGAACGCUGGCGGCGUGCCUAAUACAUGCAAGUCGAGCGAACAGAUGAGGAGCUUGCUCCUCUGACGUUAGCGGCGGACGGGUGAGUAACACGUGGAUAACCUACCUAUAAGACUGGGAUAACUUCGGGAAACCGGAGCUAAUACCGGAUAAUAUAUUGAACCGCAUGGUUCAAUAGUGAAAGACGGUUUUGCUGUCACUUAUAGAUGGAUCCGCGCCGCAUUAGCUAGUUGGUAAGGUAACGGCUUACCAAGGCAACGAUGCGUAGCCGACCUGAGAGAGUGAUCGGCCACACUGGAACUGAGACACGGUCCAGACUCCUACGGGAGGCAGCAGUAGGGAAUCUUCCGCAAUGGGCGAAAGCUUGACGGAGCAACGCUGCGUGAGUGAUGAAGGUCUUCGGAUCGUAAAACUCUGUUAUUAGGGAAGAACAAAUGUGUAAGUAACUAUGCACGUCUUGACGGUACCUAAUCAGAAAGCCACGGCUAACUACGUG
rnacentral:rRNA from 1 species